GACGAACGCUGGCGGCGUGCUUAACACAUGCAAGUCGAGCGGUAAGGCCCUUUCGGGGGUACACGAGCGGCGAACGGGUGAGUAACACGUGGGUGACCUGCCCUCAGCUCUGGGAUAAGCCUGGGAAACCGGGUCUAAUACCGGAUAUGACUCCACGACGCAUGUUGUGGGGUGGAAAGCCUUGUGCGGCUGAGGAUGGGCCCGCGGCCUAUCAGCUUGUUGGUGGGGUGANGGCCCUACCAAGGCGACGACGGGUAGCCGGCCUGAGAGGGCGACCGGCCACACUGGGACUGAGACACGGCCCAGACUCCUACGGGAGGCAGCAGUGGGGAAUCUUGCGCAAUGGGCGAAAGCCUGACGCAGCGACGCCGCGUGAGGGAUGACGGCCUGG
rnacentral:rRNA from 1 species